rnacentral:misc_RNA from 1 species
AAAUGUUUGAAUGCAAUGCCUAGGGGUGGGAGUGAGAGAGAUACAACUGGAAUCCUGAUGUGGUCCGAGGUUUUCCUUGUCAAGACACCCUUCGGAAAGGAGGUGGCGGUCGCUCUCAUGGAUACACAGGGUUCUUUUGAUAAGAGCAGUACAGUGAGGGACACAGCAACUAUAUUUGCACUUUCAUUAAUGACAAGCAGUGUUCUGGUGUAUAAUCUGUUCAAUAAUAUUCAAGAAGACGACCUUCAACACCUUCAUUACUUCACAGAAUAUGGCAGAUUAGCUCUGGAGGAUUCUGGUGAGGUUCCCUUCCAGCGUCUCCAGUUUCUAGUCAGAGAUUGGCAGUAUGCAUAUGAGGAGGCUUAUGGAGAAAAAGGAGGACAGAAUAUUCUGGAUAAACAGUUGAAAAUUGAUGAAAAGCAGCACACAGAACUACAGGCCCUAAGGAGCAACUUGACCUCCUGUUUCUCUGAGAUGUCCUGUUUCCUGCUGCCCCACCCUGGGAAGCAUGUUGCCACGAACCCCAACUUCAAGGGGGAACUCAAGGAUAUAGAUGAGGAGUUUCUGGCGUAUCUACAGGAGUUUAUGCCCCUCCUGCUGUCCCCCCGUAACCUUGUGAUAAAGUCCCAAGGAGGGAAGGAGGUUAAAACCAAGGAGAUAAUUCAGUUCUUUAAAUCAUAUAUAGACGUUUUCAGGGGGAACAGUAUGCCAGAGCCUAAGUCAAUGCUUGAGGUCACCAUCGAGGUCAACAACCUCGUGAGUCUGGCCUCCGCCAAGGAACUGUAUACGGCCUCUAUGGAGAGCUUAUGCGGAGGAGACAGACCUUACCUGAACGAGCAAGUUCUUGAGAUUGAGCAUAAACGGAUUCUAGAUUCAGCCAUCUUGGAAUUUGAUGCCAGGAAGAAGAUGGGAGGAGAAGAGUUCUCUCAUAAAUACCGAGAACAGUUGCUUAGAGAACUAGAGGACUCCUUCAUACAGUACAAGGCGCAUAAUGACAGUAAGAAUAUAUUCAAAGCUGCCAACACACCAAUUACCUUAUUCAGCAUUUGGUCAAUUCUCUACAUAAUUUCACAGUUCUGUGCUUUGAUAAUGCUUACUCCUGUCUCUAACCUUUGUAACCUGUUGAUGUGGGGAUUAGUUUUCACCGGAGCAACAUGGGCAUACGUCAAGUACAGUGGAGAAUUCGGGCAUGUUGGAUCCCAGAUAGAGGAUUGCACAGGAUGGAUCUGGGACAAUCUUUUCCAGGUUCUACUGAGCAAGGCGGCUGAACAGGGAACCACUUUUGCUGUCAGGCAAGCCGCCCAACGGAUGAGCUCUGUAAGUUCCCCCUCCAAUGAGCGGAAGAAAACUAGAUGAAGUUUCAAGUGAAAAAUAAACUAGUUUUGUGAAAGAGUCUCGUGACGUAAUUUUCAUCCCUUCAAGUUCUUAAUCAAAUAGUUUAUGUUCUCUUGCUAUAACUAUAUACCGCCAAAUUAUUGUAUAAUUAACAAAUAAUUUCCUUAAUAGUUAAUUAUUUAUCUUUUCUUCUGGCCGAGGCGGGGUUUUUAUCUUUGAUGAACUCCAUCAAAAAUUCCACAUUUUUAAGAUUAUUAAAAGUUCAAAAAUGAAAGUUUCAAGGUUUUUAUUCUGUUUUGAAAGCGAUUUAAAACAAACUUCUAUAAUUUUAUUACUCCCGUUUUUACGCCCUAAAUACCCAACUUAACUUAAAGGGAAGAAAAGGACAAACUUUUUGGAUCUGUUUUGAAGGGUCAACCAAUCAAAGUUUGAUAUCUUACUUAAACAUUGUGGCAUUUCACCAUGAACAGAUUCAAAAUUAACCUUUCUCUACUUUUAACAUAAAUACAAGACUCUGCUCAAUUUCUCAAUUCCGUCCGAUGUCACAAGUGUAAAAAAGUGGCAGCUGGAUUUUUUCAAAUCUCGAAAUGAAAAAUGUUUGUUUUUUAUGUUUUUUUUUUCUCCUGAUCUUUAAUAUGUAUUCUUUCUUGUAUUUUGAAAAGUUGGGUAUUUCGAGUAUUUUUCCUUGUUAUUGUUUUUUAUUUUAUUUUAAGAUACGUUUUAACUUGCCUGGUUUAUUGUUAUCAUUGAUAGCGUAUCGUGUUUAAAAAAAAUUCCCCCUGAUUCCUGACUCAAACUCUUUUCACCCGCCAUAAUGCUGUACCUGGAUCAUGGGGAAGACUGAAACCAAUCAAUCAAUCGCGUCUCAACAAAUUUAUUAAAUUAUUAGUGCUCGGCAUAAAAAUAAAUUUCACAAACCCUGCAUUAUUAACCUUGCAGUACGGUGAUUUUGUACCGUUUACUUUAAAUGGGUUAAAAGGUAUCCAUUUAUGUGAUCAUUUUGGUUUACACUUCUUUUAUAGAUAUGUAAAUACAUUUUAAUAUUUAAAUCAGAUUUUUUAUUACGACCCUCUUAGUCUAAUAUUUAUAUCCUUAAUAAUUUUAGUAAAUAUAGAUAAUUGUAGAUA